rnacentral:rRNA from 1 species
CCCUUAGAUGUUCUGGGCCGCACGCGCGCUACACUGACGAUGGCAACGAGUUUUUCCUUCGCCGAAAGGUGUGGGUAAUCUUUUGAAACAUCGUCGUGCUGGGGAUAGAUCAUUGCAAUUUUUGAUCUUGAACGAGGAAUUCCUAGUAAGCGCGAGUCAUCAGCUCGCGUUGAUUACGUCCCUGCCCUUUGUACACACCGCCCGUCGCUACUACCGAUUGAAUGGUUUAGUGAGGACUACUGAUUGGCGCCGCCGCCCCGGCAACGGAGCAGCGGACUGCCGAAAAGUUGUUCAAACUUGAUCAUUUAGAGGAAGUAAAAGUCGUAACA